GUUCAAAUCUUGACUUAAAGUAUGCUUUCAAAUAGUGAAUAAAUUAUAGAAAUAGAUUUAUACACUACUUUUCUUUUGUAUUAAACAUUAAAGAUUGUUAUAUUAAUAGUUAUGUGGAGAAAUCGUCUAAAGAUUAAUAUAGUGAUUAUCACAAUCUCAUUUAGAAAUAAAUGUUAUUGAGAGGAUGCUUGAAUAUUAUCAAUAAUUUUGAGUCCAUAUAGUUGUCACUAGGGAAACAUAAGAAAUUGAGAUAGUGAACUCCAAUCUUGGCAAGCCUUUUAUAUUCGAUUUAAAACUAAUUUUAUUGUCUUAGUGUCAUUUUAAUUAAGAGAUAACAAUUCACUCAAAAACAACUUGGUUACUUUUCAAACUUACAACAAUUGAGAUUAUAGAACGGCGGUAAUAUCACCCAAUCUCUAUGGAUACGAUAUAAAAAUAUUUGCCAGAAAUAUACUUUUCAACCGUUAACCAACUAAUGACCAUAACUGCAUCCCAAUUAAUUCACAAAUAUUGGACAGAGUAUGAUGAUAGAAAAAGUUUUAAUAAAACUAACCAUUAUAAGCAACAUUUUUCAUUUGAUGAUGAAUGUUGCCCAAGCCUCAACAACUAGUGCCCAACCUGCCCGAUUCUGUUGCGGCAUCACAUCCCCGACAUAACAGUUGAAUCUUCAUUCUGCAGAAUUUCGUAUGGCAAGUAGUGCAAGAAAAUCAGAAGCAUCCACCAUUAGCUCCCAAUGGAUUUUCCAUAAAUCAUACAAGAAUGAAACAGAAUCCACUUUAUAACAAGCUCAACAUAACAUGAUUUUCGCACGUCCAGAACCUUCCACUUCGAAUGAACUCCGUAACCUAACCGUUUCGUAACUAACUUCUUGGCCUACAACAAAGCCUAACAGAAUUAACUCAAGAACCACUCUAAUUUCAACAUAAACAUUCCAACUGAUAUAACAACUUCCAACUGAUUCCAGAAUCUUCAACAAUCAUCACCUAUAUAACAGUUCACUUCACACUUCAAAGGCACAUAUUGGUUCUUCUACAUCUCAGGCAUCAAACUCAACUGAAACCAACUUCUAACCUAACUGAAUUUAACAACCUAACAACCUAGCAACUAUAACAAAAGAGGUGAGGAGAAUAACAGGGAGAGGAGAAUAACAGGGAGAGGAGAAUGAGUAUAAGGGAAACUCACUCUGCAUCGAGGUGGAUUCUGAUUUCUCACCAAGUUCAUCAUGCUUCAACACUCUGCAAUUGGAUCUCGCAUGCAUCCUUGUCCUCAUCCAUAUUCUGCAAGAGCCUUAACCGAAUCUCCAUUCUGCAAAAGCCUUGAUCGAGCCUACAUCCAACAAGAAAUCAAUUGAAUCAUCAAUCUGCAAAGGCUUCCAUCAAGAGGAAAAGAGCAUCACACGCAGAAACCAAACGCAAGAGCGCACCAAAUUCAAAGGUCUUUUCACUGCUCAUAAGCGCACAUCCAUUCUCUGAGUUCGCAACAAUCACAGGAAGAGGAAGAGAAACGAUUUCAGCAACGAUCCAUAUUUGAUAGUGAUUGAAGCAUUCGAAUCUGGUAAGUUCACGAUUCAUCUUCUAUAAUCUUUACUUUCCUCCUCUGGUUACGCGGGAGUUUUGUUAAGAAUCGAGUCACAUUGGAUCAGUGAUUGAGAGGAAGAACAUACGCCGUAGAGAAGUUGACGCAUUUCUUGAACAAACAUGGAGGCAAGUGUGGAGGACGAGGUACGGCGCCGCGCGGAGCUUCUCCAUUUGUGUUUGGUUGCGGCGAAGAGAGCUUUUUUUCUGGCUUCAGUCAUGUAGGUUAAAGAAUGGAAAGAUUGUGUCCUGGCUCGGAUGUUUGGGCCUGAAUUAGAGUUAAUUAGGUUUAAUUAGCUAUUGGAUUUUAAUAUUGAUUUGAACUUAAGUUUUAGUCUUAAUUAGAAAUUAGGUAAGGUUUAGGCCAAUUUUAAAUUAUGUUAAAAUCAAGCUUUAGGACUUAAUCAAUUUUAGACUAUAAUUAGAUUUUAACUAGAAUUUGAUUUGUGUUUGUAAUUAGAUAUUAAUGACCAUUUUACCCUUUAGGGGUGAUUUUGGUGUUUUAGUCCUAUAAUCACUUGUUCCCUUAGCAUUUUCAAUAUAGAAUUCUAGUCAAGAAUUUUGACUAACCA
rnacentral:lncRNA from 1 species